rnacentral:rRNA from 1 species
CUUGGUCAUUUAGAGGAAGUAACGGUCGUAACAAGGUCUCCGUAGGUGAACCUGCGGAGGGAUCAUUACAAGUGACCCCGGUCUAACCACCGGGAUGUUCAUAACCCUUUGUUGUCCGACUCUGUUGCCUCCGGGGCGACCCUGCCUUCGGGCGGGGGCUCCGGGUGGACACUUCAAACUCUUGCGUAACUUUGCAGUCUGAGUAAACUUAAUUAAUAAAUUAAAACUUUUAACAACGGAUCUCUUGGUUCUGGCAUCGAUGAAGAACGCAGC